rnacentral:miRNA from 1 species
CGGAGCGCUGAGAAGACGG